GAAUAAGAGUUCCUGUUUCUCCACAUCCUUGCCAGCAUUUGAUGUUGUCAGUGUUCUGGAUUUCAGCCACUCUAACAGAAGCCACUGGCAGAAACAAGGAGAGAAGAAAGGCGUAACGAAUCAGUGAUGGAACAGGAAGGAAUCAACUGAGGGAAGCAAAGGGCUGCUGAGUCACAAGCAUGACAGGCAACUAGAAUCAGCCCG
rnacentral:lncRNA from 1 species